UGGGGAAUAUUGGACAAUGGGGGCAACCCUGAUCCAGCCAUGCCGCGUGAGUGAUGAAGGCCUUCGGGUUGUAAAGCUCUUUUGUGAGGGAAGAUGAUGACGGUACCUCAAGAAUAAGCCCCGGCUAACUUCGUGCCAGCAGCCGCGGUAAUACGAAGGGGGCUAGCGUUGUUCGGAAUUACUGGGCGUAAAGGGCGCGUAGGCGGUUCUAUAAGUCAGGAGUGAAAUCCCCAGGCUCAACCUGGGAAUUGCUUUUGAGACUAUAGGGCUUGAGUGCGAGAGAGGUGAGUGGAAUUCCCAGUGUAGAGGUAAAAUUCGUAGAUAUUGGGAGGAACACCAGUGGCGAAGGCGGCUCACUGGCUCGUAACUGACGCUGAGGCGCGAAAGCGUGGGGAGCAAACAG
rnacentral:rRNA from 1 species